UACGGAGGGGGCUAGCGUUGUUCGGAAUUACUGGGCGUAAAGCGCACGUAGGCGGAUAGUUAAGUUAGAGGUGAAAGCCCAGGGCUCAACCCUGGAACUGCCUUUAAUACUGGCUGUCUAGAGAUCGAGAGAGGUGAGUGGAAUUCCGAGUGUAGAGGUGAAAUUCGUAGAUAUUCGGAGGAACACCAGUGGCGAAGGCGGCUCACUGGCUCGAUACUGACGCUGAGGUGCGAGAGCGUGGGGAGCAAACAGG
rnacentral:rRNA from 1 species